AGGGAAACCCCGCUCUGCUCCCGCCCACCAAUCACAGGAGCGCGAUUGCUCCUGGAUUUGCAUAGCUCCGCCCCGUCUACCACCGGCUGUAGGCGGGUCCGGGCGCUGUUCGCUCCCAGCUCCCUCCCAGUGCUCCCAGUAAGAGCGGUACAGGGAGGGAAAGCGCUUCCAGUUCCUGCCCGGGGCUCUCGGGAUCGCCCCCGGUGCUCCCAGUAUCGCUCCCAGUGCCGCGCGGGGCGUAGCCGCUUUGGGGACACCCCCAGGGCAGAGCGCGGCUGCUUUUGGGUGUCGGCACCUGCCCGGGCCGGGCUGGGAGCGGAGGAGAGCGGGGGAAGAGGAGAGACAAAGGAGGAGGAGGAAAAUGAAAGGCAGGAGCGUGAGGAUUUCCUAUUCCCCAGCCUUGGCUGAAUGGAGGAGGAGGAGCAGGAGGCUGCUAGGAAGAGGAGGAUGUCCCGGGAGCCCCAGGCAGGAAACGAGCUGAGGAUGGAGACCAGGGAGAACAAAUCUCGACAAAGAGGUUAAGCAUUUUGAGCAGCUCCAUGGCUCAGGAAUCCAACGGGGAGGAAAAACCCCAGAGAUCCCGCAUGAGAUUGAGCUGCAAAUGCAGACCACAGAGAUCCAAGGAGGACAGACCCAUACUGGCCCAGGAAGGUGGCUAGAGAUGCAGUUGGAGCUGGGUGUCCACGAGCAGCUUCACGGUGGGGUGAAGCCUCACUAGUGCUCAAAAUGUGGAAAGAGCUUCAGUAAGAGAUCCUACCUGACCUGCCACUGGAAUAUCCACACUGGGGAAAGACCCUAUGAGUGCGGGGAUUGUGGGAAGAACUUCAGAGAUAGCUCCAGCCUGAUCGUCCCACCACAGGAUCCACAUGGGAGAAUGGCCAUAUGAGUGUGGGGCAUGUGGGAAGGGCUUCAGAGGAACUCCGACCUGAUCCAGCACCAGAGGACACACAAGGGGGAAUGACCCCAUGCGUGUGAGGAGUGUGGGAAGAGCUUCAGCCAGACCUCCCACCUGAUCAACCACCAGAGGAUCCACAGUGGUGAAUGUCCCUACACGUGUGGGGAGUGUGGGAAGAGCUUCAGAGGGAGCUCUGACCUGAUCCAGCACCAGAAGAUCCACACUGGAGAAUGCCCCUAUGAGUGUGGGCAGUGUGGAAAGAGCUUCUGCACAAGUUCCCAACUGGUUGUCCUUCGGAGGAGCCACACGGAGAAUGGCCCUGCAAGUGUGGGGACUGUGGGCAGACCUUCAUCCACAGCAGGAACCUGAUGCAGCACCAGAGGAGCCACGCAGGGCAGAGGCCCUAUGAAUGUGGAGAAUGCGGGAAGAGGUUUCUGACUACCUACCAUCUUCUCAGGCAUCAGCAGACACACACAGAAGAGAGCCCCUACGAGUAUGCUGGGUGUGGGAAACAGUUUCAGACCAGUUCAGAUCUCAAGCAGGAGCAGAUUCACAUGGAUGAGAGGCCCUUCUGCUGUCUCGACUGUGGGAAGGGCUUCAGGUACAACUCUGACCUCAUCAGGCACCAGCUCAUCCACACCAGGGAGAGGCCCUACGAGUAUUCUGUGUGGGAAGAGCUUCUCAGAGAGCUCAGCCUCGACGCAAUACCAACGGAGCCACCACUAAGGGAAGCUCUGUGAGUGCCCCAUGUGUGGGAAGAGCUUUGUGCUGUGCUCCAGCUCCAUCCCCCGUGGGAGGAUCGGUGUUGGAUGAUCCCCAGUGACCCCCGUUGGGCAGAGCCCUGGUGAGCCAUGCUCCCAUUGAUCUGUACUGGGAAGACACCUGGCUGGCAAGUCCACCAGGCUCCUCGUGGCCUGGAUUUUCUUUUCUUUCCCUUCAUUGCUUCAAAACAUCCAAGAUCAGGCCAGAAAUAAAGAUGUUGAACUUAAGACAUGGAUUUGGAUAUUAGGAAACAUGGCCAUGGGUUCGGACAUAGGGGGACAUGGGCCAAGACAUAGGGGGAUCUUCCAGGGGUUGUGGAGGAUACUGGGUAUGAGGGACUUGAGGGGUCCUGGGAGGGACUUGCUGAGUCUUGACUGCUUUCCUUGUUGCUGAGGGCCAGGCCAGGCCAAGCAGCUCCAGCUGCUCUGGGAGACCCUGGCAGAGGUUCUGGGGCAGCUGCUCAAGGACCCCCUGCCCUGGAGCCCCAGCCGGGCAUUGGGCUCCUGAAGAGAAUGAACAUCCUUGACCCCAGGAGGGAAAUCCCAGCAUCCCCAGGGUGUCCAGGGUGUCAGGGGCAGCUAAGAGGCCCCAACAGGGAGGGGAAAGCCAGACUGAACUGUUCUACUCUAAAACUGCAGCUCCAAAAUCCCUGCGGCUCAGGAGAGGUACUCAUCUCAAGGGGAAGGCUUCAAGUACAACUCCAGCCUUGUCAUCCACCAGCACAUCCACACCAGGGAGAGGCCCUACGAGUGCCCAGGGGGCUGAAGAGCUUCAUGCUCUGCUCCAGCUCCAUCCCCCAUGAGAGGAUCAGUGUUGGAUGAUCCCCAGUGACCCCCACUGGGCAGAGCCCUGGUGAUCUGUGUUACCAUUGAUCUGUGUUGGGAAGAUACCCCCCUGGGGGGCUCCACAUCCUUCUGGCUCCCCAUGGGCACCUGGACACAUCUACAGACCAGCAUCAGAAUUCCAUUGUGGAGAGUGGAUUUGUUGAGUUGCAACCCCGGAAAAAUCUCACCUUUUGCAUCUUCUUGUGGUAUCAGGCAACACUGGAUGGCUUUGGAGGUCUUCUCCAACAUUAAUCUAUUGUUUCAAUUCUCUCUGGCUCACAGGCAUCUUCCACAGCCAAACAGGAAUGGACUGGGGCAAAACCCACAGUUUUGGAGACAGUGGGGUGGAAACCCCUCCUAAAAAGGUUCUUCCCACCCACCUAAGCUUGUGAAUGCUUUGCCGGCACAGACACAUGAAUCCUUUUGUUUUAGCCUUGAUUUUUUUGUUUCUGUUCAUCCCUUUGAAACUCCUGAAACUGGGGUAAAAAUAAAGACAUUGAACUAAGGCAUGAAUGGGGACAUGUGGAGGACAAUAACAUGGAUGGAAACAUGGGUGGGGUCAGCCACGAACUGGUGUCAGUGCCACCACAGUGCCACCAGCACCUUCAUCUCAGCCAUGGCGAAACUCUGUCUGGUGCAGUUCCUGCCACCAUGUUCCCACUGUCACCACCUCGGUGCCCCAGCUGAAUGUCACCACCCACCAUGGCUGGACAGAGAACUUGUUCUGCUGGUGACAACUGGC